rnacentral:rRNA from 1 species
UACGGAAGGGGCUAGCGUUGUUCGAAAUUACUGGGCGUAAAGAGCGCGUAGGCGGCUUACCAAGUUGGGGGUGAAAUCCCGGAGCUCAACUCCGGAACUGCCUUCAAAACUGGUAGGCUCGAGUCCGGAAGAGGGGCGUGGAAUUCCCAGUGUAGAGGUGAACUGCGUAGAUAUUGGGAAGAACACCGGUGGCGAAGGCGGCGCCCUGGUCCGGUACUGACGCUGAGGCGCGAAAGCGUGGGGAGCAAACAGG